UGCCAGACUGCCCACGCCUCCCUCCAGCAAAAGCACUGCUUCCCGCUGCACAGCUGACUCGAACGUUAGCGGGAGCUGGCUGACAUUUUAGGUUUCCUCUCUGAGUUUCGUGAGGAUAGUAACGGAAGGUGAGCAGCAACGUGAUAUCACCACAGUCUGGCAACGAAAAAUGUACUCAAAUGAAGAAGGGAUAUUUUUAUUGUACUAAUUAAUUAUUCACAUAUUAAUUGCAUGCUGGUUGCGCAUGUCACACCUAUAGAAAAGAAUCAUGGGUAAGCAAUAUGGCCGUGUGCGAUUAUACUUGGUGAUCGAUAGUUUAGACGUUCAGCCUUCGUUUACGUGUUUCUAAAUGAACUGUGAAUAUUUAGUUUGCACUUUUAAUUCAUUGUAAGGGAACAUUGUUUACUCUUGUUCACGAUUUAAACGAUUAUAAAGAGCAGUGACAGUGGGAUUAAUAUAGAACGUGUUGGAUGUGCACAUGGUGACAAUGACCGGUUUGACAGUGAAUGUUGCAUAUUACCAUGACAUUAUGGUGCACAACUAUGGGCAUAAUUAUUUACAGUGCAGUACUUAUUUAUUUCUUUUAAACCUGAAGUGAAGUACAAAGAUACCGAGUUUUGACAUUGGAUGUCCAGUAUUUUACCACAGUUUCUGAGUUGAACAGCCGGAGGAGGGACGUCAGAGCUCAGACUGGUCAAGGAGAACACUGCAUUGCCCAUUUGGAGAAGACUGGCUGUCGUGCCUACACCAACUCCCCCUCCUUGUAGAAGUCACACUGCGAUACUGUAACAGGUCCGAGAACACCGUCUUUCUUGUGUUCCCUCCAGAGCGCUCACACCCGGCGCCACAAUUAGUGGAAGUAAUCGCCCGACAAGCAUUGCGAGCAGACGUGGCAGCACAAACAAAAGAGUCGUGUCUUGUCCCUCCGCGACGCGGCGCUAAGCAGCCAGCGCCCUUAGCUCAAAUUAAGAAAGUGGUGACACGAGCCAACCUCCUCCACGAGGUUCUUGUUUCUUAAAUUGGGUACACUAAUUGGAGGGAACGUUACUUUUAAUUAUUCCGUCAUAAAAUGUGAGAAGAAACUGCUGUGUGUACCCCCUCCCUGGACCUGCCAGCAGACAGGCGCCUACAAAUCAUUCUCUUCACUAGUUAACUGCAGCAGUACGCCCACGAAAUGGGGAAGAUAUCUGCAAGCGGACGAACACACCGUGCGACGGGCAUAGCGCUGCUUUGCGCCUGGAGAAAUAGGCCGCUACUAACUAGGUAAUUUUGAAAUGGCCGCCAGUGGUAGCCUGCAAGUGGUCAGAUGGUUUAAAAGCUCGAAGAACGGACAUACAGAUGCACACAGACAGCAUGGCGAUCUCAUAAGGUUGGCUUCUUGUCUUGAAGAAGGAAACUGGGAUUAAAAUCAUGUAGAACUCUAUAAAUCAUACUGAAUUCUGG